GGUAGCGUGUCCGAGCGGCCGAAGGUGCAGCACUCGAAAUGCUGUGUGGUGAAAGCCACCGUGGGUUCAAAUCCCACCGCUACCG
rnacentral:tRNA from 1 species